AAUUUGCCGAUUAACAAACUGCAGUGUGCACCACUGUCGUUCUGACUGACCCCGAAGUUUGGGAGGGCCACACAGCCACAGUGCAGUGGGAGUGGGUCGGUGCACCUGGACUCCGCUGCCUUGGACCUCAGUAGGAACAGUCUCCAUGGUUCUCCACAGCCCAACACCCCGACCCCACAAGCCUGUGCUGCUCUCACAACGACUGAGAGCAGGACCCCCAAGAGGACCCUCUGACAAAGCGCCACAGUCCAGGGGACAUUGCCAACCACCUGCUUCUCCCAGGAGUGAGGUAAAAGGAAGAAAGAGAACUUUGCCCUCUCAGAGGGCUCACAUCCAGGGCAGCAGGCUGACGGUCAGC
rnacentral:lncRNA from 1 species